ACUAAGGUGGUUGACCCUAAAAUUCGGCGUUUCAAUGACUUGUUUCAGAAAUACAGAAAAGUAUGUGAAGAAGGGUCUCUUUCUGAUCAAAAGUAUGAUAUUGCAAAACGUUUGCUAGAGGAGGCCUUGACACAAUGUGGAAGCAUCAGUCAUUCUAUUAAUGUCAAUAAAGAAAUGGUGAAGAACAUUGACAAAGAGAAUGUCAAUAACAAAGUGAGCUGUGACAUCCAUAUUCUUGAUCCAAAAGUUUCAAGCACAAAAGGAGCACCUAAAAGAAUACGAUCUGGAGUUGAGAUCAGUUCAAGAAACGGUAACAAAAGAUCAAGAAAGGCACAAGAAAAUCUGGAAGUACCUAAAGAUAAGACAAAAAAUACCUUACAGAAGGUACAUGAAAAGUAGGGGAUACAAAUUUUGGUAAUAAUGAAAAUACACAAGACUGCUUGCAAGAUAUUGGGAAUACGCUGGACUAAAUGCUCAAUUUGCACCACAAAAGAAGAAAGUUGGAUUUGCAGCAUAAGGGAGCAAAAUUGAUUAGUUUUUGUUUGGGAAAGCUACCUAUAUCGAUCAAAUAGUGCUGAACUGGUUUUGAUCAUGUGUUAAUUAAUAGUACUAUGCUUCAUGGUUAUUAACCAGUUGUUAUAGCCAUGACAUAAAUUCUACUUUGUCCUUGAUUCCUCUGUCAUUGAUUAGUAUUU